rnacentral:tRNA from 1 species
GGGGCUAUAGCUCAGUGGGUAAAAGCACUUGCUGUGAAAGCAAGAAUCCCUGAGUUCAAGUCUGUAGCGCCC